rnacentral:rRNA from 1 species
AUUGAACGCUGGCGGCAGGCCUAACACAUGCAAGUCGAGCGGAUGAAGGGAGCUUGCUCCUGGAUUCAGCGGCGGACGGGUGAGUAAUUCCUAGGAAUCUGCCUGGUAGUGGGGGAUAACGUCCGGAAACGGGCGCUAAUACCGCAUACGUCCUGAGGGAGAAAGUGGGGGUUCGUCGGACCUCACGCUAUCAGAUAAGCCUAGUUCGGAUUAGCUAGUUGGUGGGGUAAAGGGUUACCAAGGCGACGAUCCGUAACUGGUCUGAGAGGAUGAUCGGUCACACUGGAACUGAGACACGGUCCAGACUCCUACGGGAGGCAGCAGUGGGGAAUAUUCGACAAUGGGCGAAAGCCUGAUCCAGCCAUGCCGCGUGUGUGAAGAAGGUCUUCGGAUUGUAAAGCACUUUAAGUUGGGAGGAAGGGCAGUAAGUUAAUAUCUUGCUGUUUUGACGUUACCAACAGAAUAAGCACCGGCUAACUUCGUG